AUCCAUUUGAAGAGUGCUAAAUAGAACGAAACGCAUGUCCUGCAU
rfam:Schistosoma margrebowiei strain Zambia genome assembly, scaffold: SMRZ_contig0004266